rnacentral:rRNA from 1 species
UACGUAGGGGGCAAGCGUUGUCCGGAUUUAUUGGGCGUAAAGAGCGUGUAGGCGGCCAGGUAGGUCUGCUGUGAAAACUCGAGGCUUAACCUCGAGCUGUCGGCGGAAACCAUCUGGCUAGAGUCCGGAAGAGGAGAAUGGAAUUCCCGGUGUAGCGGUGAAAUGCGCAGAUAUCGGGAAGAACACCCGUGGCGAAGGCGGUUCUCUGGGACGGUACCGACGCUGAGACGCGAAAGCGUGGGGAGCGAACAGG